rnacentral:lncRNA from 1 species
CAAGCUUCUUUAGAUCUUUAAUUUUGUCCAACCACUUUGCUCCAUGCAUGUGAUAUCCAUUCCAUGCCAAAACUGCUCCAAAAGGCACCAAAAUGCACUUUUUUUGCCUCUUUAACCCUUUGUACCUACAACCACAUGAAAAUGGCUUGAAAUACUAAAUCAACUAAGAAAUAACAACAUAAAUGCACAAGAACAAGCUAACUAAGUCGUAUAAAUAUUCUCCUAUCAGAGGUAUAUACUUUAGAUGUCUUACUCAUCAAUUUACAUUCUUGAAUUCUUUGAAACCUUUUGCAAAGUAUUCGGACUUGUGUUUAUUCAAAAUAAACGAUAGUCCAACCGAGAGCAAUCUUUGGUGAAUGUCAUACAUAUUAUGUUGUGGACAAGUGCCACAAACAUCUAAGUGAAUUAACCUUAACAACUUUGUGAUUCUUUUUUCCUUACCAAAAGAAUAAAGAUUCAAACAUUUUGCCUCUAUACAAUUUUAACAAGAAGGCAUUGGAUCCGGAUCUAAUGAUCCAAAGCAUUCAUCUAUGACAAACUCGUAAUUUAUGUUUUAAAGGUAUCGCAACUCAGUUGGGAUUAGUCACUACCUUGCAACCUUUUGGGUUUUAAGCAUCGUUAUAUUCUAAACAGUUAACACUACCAUAUCAUCUCUACUAUAGAGAUAAUUAAUUAGAUUACAAUAAUCUAAUCAUUCAUUAAUAAAGAACAAUAUUUUGUCAAACAAAACAUUCAUCCAUUUCUCAUACGGAAUUAAGUU